UACGAAGGGGGCUAGCGUUGCUCGGAAUCACUGGGCGUAAAGCGCACGUAGGCGGAUUGCUAAGUCAGGGGUGAAAUCCUGGAGCUCGACUCCAGAACUGCCUUUGAUACUGGCGACCUUGAGUCCGGGAGAGGUGAGUGGAACUGCGAGUGUAGAGGUGAAAUUCGUAGAUAUUCGCAAGAACACCAGUGGCGAAGGCGGCUCACUGGCCCGAUACUGACGCUGAGGCACGAAAGCGUGGGGAGCAAACAGG
rnacentral:rRNA from 1 species